rnacentral:rRNA from 1 species
UAACCUACGGGGCGCAGCAGUGGGGAAUAUUGGGCAAUGGGCGCAAGCCUGACCCAGCAACGCCGCGUGAAGGAAGAAGGCUUUCGGGUUGUAAACUUCCUUUCUCAGGGACGAAGAAAGUGACGGUACCUGAGGAAUAAGCCACGGCUAACUACGUGCCAGCAGCCGCGGUAAUACGUAGGGGGCAAGCGUUAUCCGGAUUUACUGGGUGUAAAGGGAGCGUAGACGGCAGUGCAAGUCAGAUGUGAAAUCCUAUGGCUUAACCAUAGAACUGCAUUUGAAACUGUUAUUCUAGAGUAUGGGAG